rnacentral:rRNA from 1 species
CCUACGGGUGGCAGCAGUAGGGAAUAUUGCUCAAUGGAGGCAACUCUGACCCAGCAACGCCGCGUGGAGGAUGACGGUUUUAGGAUUGUAAACUUCUUUUGUGAGGGAUGAUAACGAUGAUAUUUCCCGAAUAACCACCGGCUACUUCCGUGCCAGCAGCCGCGGCAAUAAGGAGGGUGCAGGAGUUGCUCGGAAGGACUGGGCGUAAUGAGUGCGCAGGCGGUCUUGUAAGUCAGAGGUGAAAUCCUGUAGCUUAACUACGGAACUGCCGUUGAAACUAUGGGUCUAGAGGGUAGGAGAGGUAGGUGGAAUUCGUGGUGUAGCGGUAGAAUCCGUAGAUAUCAUGAGGAACACUCAUUGCGAAGGCGACCUACUGGAAUAUAACUGACGCUGAGGCACGAAAGCGUGGGGAGCAAACAGGAUUAGAUACCCCAGUAGUC